rnacentral:rRNA from 1 species
AUUGAACGCUGGCGGCAUGCUUUACACAUGCAAGUCGAACGGCAGCACGGACUUCGGUCUGGUGGCGAGUGGCGAACGGGUGAGUAAUACAUCGGAACGUGCCCAGUUGUGGGGGAUAACUACUCGAAAGAGUGCUAAUACCGCAUGAGAACUGAGGUUGAAAGCAGGGGAUCGCAAGACCUUGCGCAACUGGAGCGGCCGAUGGCAGAUUAGGUAGUUGGUGGGAUAAAAGCUUACCAAGCCGACGAUCUGUAGCUGGUCUGAGAGGACGACCGCGCACACGGGGACUGGGACACGGCCCAGACUCCUACGGGAGGAAGCAGUGGGGAAUUUUGGACAAUGGGCGAAAGCCUGAUCCGGCAAGGCCGCGUGCAGGAUGAAGGCCUUCGGGUUGUAAACUGCUUUUGUACGGAACGAAAAGCUUCGGGUUAAUACCCUGGAGUCAUGACGGUACCGUAAGAAUAAGCACCGGCUAACUACGUGCCAGCAGCCGCCGCCGUAA